rnacentral:misc_RNA from 1 species
AACGCACAUUGCGCCCUCUGGUAUUCCGGAGGGCAUGCCUGUUCGAGCGUCAUUAAUACCCUCAAGCUUAGCUUGGUGUUGGGCUUUCAUCAACUGGAUGAGCCUGAAACUUAGUGGCGAUGCUCUGUGGUUUCAAGCAUAGUAAUUUUUCUUGUCUUGGAAAGCUUCAGAAGUGUCUGCCUAACACAGUCGCAAGACCAUUAGUUGACCUCGGAUCAGGUAGGAAUACCCGCUGAACUUAA